AUGGAAAAGUCGUUGAAUCUCUGUGUUUCUUUCGCUUUUCCAGCCAAGGGCCGCUUUCCUCCAUCAGAGCCGUCAUCAAACGCACAUCAGCGAGAACGAGCUCUCAGAGUGACCCUCAGCGAGAGCGCAGGUCAGUUCACGUCUGUUUACUUGUUGUCUUUCUCUCUCUGUUCAUUUUGGUUAUUCAAAGUGAUAUUUUGCUUGAUUUUGUCUUUGUUUCAUUAUCACAUCUUCAAUCUGAUCUCAAGCUCUUUGUUGACACUGUUGUCUCCCUUGUAAACAAAUCCGUUUGAUUAUUAGGGACAAAAAUGCUUGAUUGUGCUUGAAUUGGUGCCACAACUGAUAGUUGUAACUUGAGUGUGUGUGUAUAUAUAUAUAUAUAGAGAGAGAGAGAGAGAGAGUGAUCCUUUUUUAACAGAAUUCAAAACUCAUAAAUAUUCUUAUAAAUAAAUCAAAAUAAUAAUAAAUCUGUUACUCUUAUCAAGUGAUGUUUCAUGUUGUAAAAAGUGUGUUUGUGUAGUUUGUUUUAAACUAUAUGUGCUGUUGUUAUUAUUUUAUCUGUUGUUAUUUUAUGUCAUUAAUUUUACAUUUUCAGUGUUUUUUUUAGGAAUGUAUGUUUAUCUUUAAACAUAGUUUUAAAUAACCUCUAAUUGUCACAUUAAUACCAAAUUAAUUGAAUGGCUUUGGAUUUUAAAUAUUUUCUUUUUUCCAGGGUUCUUAUAGUUAAUUAAAACUAAAUCCAAAAAAAGAUACUAAAAAAAAAAUCCAUUUAGUUUAUCUAGAUGUUUAAUUGGUGUACUAAAAUAACUAAAACUGAGAUAAAAAUGUAUAAAAACUUUAUAGAAAUAUUUAAAUAAAAAUUAAUAAAACAUGAAAAAAAAAACAAUUACUAAAACUUUAACUUAAAAUAUAAAAAAUACUAUACUGAUUAGUAAAAAUACUAAUUAAUAUAAAAAACUAUUAUACUAUACAUAUUAUUAUAAACUGUAAUAGUAUCUCAGUGGUGCUAAAAUAACACUGCUCAAAACUAGGUGUAAGACUCUCAUAAAGCACGUUUCAUGCUUUCAUUUAGCUCUCAUUCUAGUUCUGAGAGAGUUAUUAACUAGUUGUUGUUUUUUGGGGGGUAAAUUGGGGAUCAGAUUGAGGAAGGUAAUGUUGU
ensembl:lncRNA